CAGUAGUCGUAACUGCAAACUUUCAGAAUCCAAAGAAAUACAAGCUAAAGCAUACACUGCAGUCCCACACUAUCAAUCACUCUUCCCGCCACAAACAUACAUAUAAGCGCGCAAAAUCACAAUUUCCGCUGCGAGUGUUCCUGCUCUCAGCAUAUCCCUCUCCGUCUUUCAAAUUCUAGGGUUUCGUUCGCUAACGGAACCAAAGGCCACACCGUAUAUGCCCGUUGGGCCUUGCCAUGGGCGAUUCUACAGUUUUCUCCGAAUGCAACCCUACAAGAUCCCGAUCCGGAGCGGGUACCGUUACCAGGAUCCGAUUAGAGAAUUUCAUGUGCCAUAGCAACCUCCAAAUCGAACUUUGUCCUUGGGUUAAUUUCAUUACCGGUCAAAAUGGGAGUGGUAAAAGUGCAAUACUGACUGCUUUAUGUAUUGCUUUUGGAAGUCGAGCCAAAGGGACUCAGAGAGCUUCUACAUUGAAGGAUUUUAUAAAAACUGGUUGCAGUUAUGCUGUUGUUGAAGUAGAGGUGAAGAAUGAAGGAGAUGAAGCUUUUAAGCCAGAAAUCUACGGUGAUGCCAUAAUUAUAGAACGCAGAAUUAAUCAAUCUACGAGCUCCACAGUUCUGAAGGAUUUCCAAGGAAAAAAGGUUGCUAGUCGAAAAGAGGAACUUCGUGAGCUCAUUGAACAUUUUAAUAUUGAUGUUGAGAAUCCUUGUGUAAUAAUGAGUCAAGACAAAAGCAGAGAGUUUUUGCAUUCUGGGAACGACAGAGAUAAAUUCAAGUUUUUUUUCAAGGCAACUCUUCUUCAACAAGUUAAUGAUCUUCUGCAAAGUAUUUAUGAACAAUUGAAAUCUACAAAUGCCUUUGUGGAUGAAUUGGAGGCUACAAUAAAACCUAUAGAGAAGGAACUUGCUGAGUUGCAAGUAAAAAUUAAAAACAUGGAGCAUAUAGAAGAAAUUUCUCAGCAGGUACAGCAAUUAAAGAAGAAGCUUGCAUGGUCAUGGGUUUACGAUGUAGACAAGCAAAUUGAAGGUCAACGUGUCAAGAUUGGACAGCUUAAAGAUCGCAUACCCACUUGCCAAGCUAGGAUCGACAGGAAUCUAGUCAAGGUAGAUUCGCUGAGGGAUCUCCUGGCAAAGAAGAAAGCUAAAAUUGCAAACAUGAUGCAAACAGCAUCAGAAGUGAGGGAAAAACAGGAUCAAUUGCAGCAUUUGGUUUCUUUGGCAACAAAACAGAAACUUGAGUUGGACGAAGAGCAUCGCCGAGCAACUAACCACAUCCAGAAACUGCUGAAAAGUUUAAGGUCACUUGAACAAGAAGUCCAGUAUAUCCAGGAGCAGCAUGCCCAAAAUACACAGGCUGAAGAAUCUGAAAUAGAGGAAAGGCUAAAGGAACUUGAAUAUAUGGUUAAUGCUGCUAAUGCAACUGUAAUAAGGUUAAAGAAAGAUGAAAGUGAAUUAUCAGAAAGUGUCUCCAUGCGAAUGGCUGAAAUCAGAAAGAUUACUGAAGAGAUUGAAAGUUGUGAAAAAAAGGAAUAUGAGAUGCGCACAACCAUUCGCCAGUUUCGACAACACAAAACUAACAAGGUCACUGCAUUUGGAGGAGAAAGGGUGAUUCAUCUUCUACAGACUAUUGAAAGACAUCACCAGAGGUUUCACAAGCCGCCUAUAGGUCCAAUUGGUGCACACCUUACCCUGCACAAUGGUGAUAGAUGGGCUCCUGCUGUUGAGAAUGCAAUUGGGAAGUUGCUUAAUGCUUUUAUUGUAACCAAUCAUAGUGAUUCUCUUCUGUUAAGAGGCUAUGCAAGAGAAGCGAGAUAUAAUAAUCUGCAAAUUAUCAUAUAUGACUUCUCAAGACCUAGGUUGAUCAUCCCGUCUCACAUGCUUCCCCAAACAAGUAGCCCAACUACUCUCUCUGUCUUACGUUCCGAAAAUGAUACCGUACUAAACGUCUUGGUGGAUAUGGGAAGUGCCGAGAGGCAAGUGCUUGUAGAAGAUUAUGAUGUAGGAAAAGCUGUUGCAUUUGACAGAAAGAUCCAGAAUUUGAAGGAGGUUUACACGCUAGAUGGAUAUAAAAUGUUUUCUCGUGGAUCAGUCCAGACAGUGCUUCCUCCAAAUAAAAAAGCUAGAACUGGUCGUCUUUGCAGCUCGUAUGAUGAUCAAAUUAAGGAUCUUGAACAAGAUGCAUCGCAUGUUAGAAAGAAAGCUGAGGAAUCCAGGAAAAGGAAAAGAGAUAGCGAAGCAAAUCUUCAGAAUCUUCAACGUGAUUUAAAGAAUGCAAAGGAGAGAUGCUUGAAUGCUGAGCGGGAGCUGGUAUCUAAGAAUCUAGCAGUAAGAGAUUUGAAGAAGUCAUAUGCUACUGAAAGUAGUCUGGUACCUGCAACAAAUGUUGAUGAACUUCAUGAAGAAAUUUCAAAAAUCCAAGGGCAGAUACAAGAAAAGGAAGCUUCUCUGGAAAUGCUUCAGAAUAGUAGGAAUGUUGCUGAAGAAAAGGCUAGCGAGCUUAAAUUGGCGUUUGAGAAAUUAUGUGAGUCAGCGAAGGAAGAACUUGAUGCCUAUGAAGAAGCAGAGGGCGAGCUUAUGAAGAUUGAAAAGGAUCUACAAUCUGCAGAAACGGAGAAGGCUCAUUAUGAAGGUGUUAUGACUAACAAGGUCCUUCCUGACAUUGAAGCAGCGGAGGCACACUAUCAAGAGCUUGAAGAGAACCGUAAGGAGAGUUGCAGAAAGGCUUCGAUUAUCUGUCCUGAGAGUGAUAUUGAAGCUUUAGGUGGAAGGGACAGAAGUACCCCAGAGCAACUCAGCGCCCAAUUGAAUAGAUUGAAUCAAAGACUUCAGCAUGAAAGCCAGCGGUAUUCUGAUUCUAUUGAUGACUUGAGGAUGUUGUAUGAAAAAAAACAGCGCAAAAUUUUAAAGAAACAGCAAAUGUAUAAAGGAUUUCGAGAAAAGUUGGAGGCUUGUAAAAGAGCCCUAGAUUUGCGAUGGAACAAGUUUCAGAGGAACAGCACUCUUUUGAAGCGCCAGUUAACUUGGAAUUUCAAUGGUCAUUUGGGAAAGAAAGGGAUCAGUGGGAACAUCAAAGUUAGUUAUGAAGAGAAAACCCUUAGAGUAGAGGUAAAGAUGCCCCAAGAUGCAUCAAGCAGCACAGUGCGUGACACUAGAGGACUUUCAGGUGGUGAACGCUCUUUUUCAACAUUGUGCUUUGCAUUAGCUCUUCACGAGAUGACAGAAGCUCCAUUUCGGGCAAUGGACGAAUUUGAUGUAUUUAUGGAUGCAGUUAGCCGUAAAAUCAGCUUAGACACUUUAGUGGACUUUGCACUGGCACAAGGAUCCCAAUGGAUAUUUAUUACACCUCAUGAUAUCAGUAUGGUAAAACAAGGGGAAAGGAUAAAGAAGCAGCAAAUGGCAGCUCCUCGUUCUUGAUUAUAUCUAUGCAAAUUCUGUUUCAGCGUAAGCUAUGCUGUCCUUUUGCUCAGAUGAUCUGUUCGAGGUUUGUUGGGCAGGAAAUGGCGUUGAGCUUCCAUGGUAAUAUGGUUCUUAUUACAUGGGAAACUGAUUGAGUUAAAUUUCCCAAAGAAUUCCAGCUUAUGAAGAGUAUGGGAAUUGGGGACGCUGUCUUGAUUGCUCACUUGUCCUAUCUGUCCGUUGAUACCCUCUCCUACAUAACUAGUUUCAAUACAUCACUUUUUUUAGAUCUCAGGAAGGCAACAACUAUGCAAUGGAGUAUUUUAUUAGAAUUGAGGACCUGUUAACUGCAUAUUUUAUCUAUAUGCUUAUUUAUUUAUAUAUGUGAAAAUAUGGUUAUAUAAGAAA